ACAUGAAGCGUGCAUUGGUGUGUGUGCUGAUGGCUGCCUGGAGCCUUGGAUGUGGCAGCCAGACGGUGCACCAACCAGCAGAGAAUGUGUACGCCAUGAAAGGCGACUCAGUGACGCUGGACUGCAGCUAUGAAAAUUCUGUAGGCAACAACUACAUCUUCUGGUACAAGCGGGAAGGGCAGGCGGCACCAAAGUUCGUCCUGAGCCUCUCAAUAUUCGGUCAGGGCAAGACUGAGAGCAGCUUUGAAAAGAGGUUCAGCUGCAGCAACAAUGACACCGCCAAGCGAGCUCCUCUGAAGAUCCAAGACGUGCAGCUGAAUGACUCUGCAGUCUUCUACUGCGCCAUCCAGCCCACAAUGACUGACAUCUCUGCUGCACCCGCACAGAAACCUCUGACAUCACAGGGGUGGCAAACUGGAGAUAUUUUUUUUGCUUCUCCAUGCACUCCAGUCCAAGGGAGCAGAGUCGAAGUAUGCAGGAGUUUGCAGUGACCACUUCAUUAAAGGUGCUGUGCCCUCAUCCUCACUGCAUCUCAGCCCAGCCACACUGAGAAUCAUCAUUUAGGGAGAAGUUGUGAUGGACAACAUUCAAGACCUGCCAAAAGCUGUGUCCAUUCUCUUUGGACUGCAUCUCAACUCCCCAACGUCUAUGAAGUAAAAAUUUCCAGGUCAUCCAACAGGUACUUUUCGAGCUGGGCCAUGGUGAGCUGAAACCAAAAUGACCAUUUUCUGGGCUAUGGAGCGCACUGUGAUAUACGCCGCACCCACAUAAUUUUAGAAGAAAAAUAUAUUUUUCCAUAUAUUGGCUCGCACCGGACUAUGAGCCACAGAUAUAUACGUUAUAAAUUGACUUAUUUACACAGAAAUAUUUUGUAAAUGUUUAUUUACAUACCUUAAUUGUUUCCAAACGGUGUCUGUAACACGGCAGUAAACGGCUGAUCAAACACAACAGAAGUCAUCGUCAUGGACCCACCAGCUGUGGAACUCGCUCUCCAUCAGCUAAAAAGACUCAAUCAGUCCACAGUGACGUUUUAGUGAAUUUAUUGAGGAAUUUGUGAAACGGGUGACCAUGCCAGGAUUAAGAUAACUAAACUCAAAGGACAUGGUUUCUAAAUAUGAAUAUAAACAAUUUGCAAGACAUUAUAAACAUGUAAUAUUCAUGGCAAUGUUCCCAACAAAUCGUUCCAGACCGUCUGCUUAGUGUCGCCCUCACAGCCUGCUCUCUUUCGUUUCUCUCCCCCUGCUGUGAGGCAAGGGGCCUGUCAGUCACAUCACGAUGUGUUGGACUUUCAAAACAAAAUCAUGUAUACCUCUGCGGUAUAUUUUUUGGGGACAAAUGUGUCUUUCUCCAAUAAUGAAGUAUUGAAGAGGGAUGUUUCCCCCAGUACUACACCUAUGUAUGUGAUGUGUUGUGAAGUGCCUCCCUCUUUGGGAUUAGACCCCGCCUCCUCAGCCACCAAGUCAGCGUGCACGGAGCCCAGAAGUGCAAACAUGAAGCGUGCAUUGGUGUGUGUGCUGAUGGCUGCCUGGAGCCUUGGUAAGGUCAU